rnacentral:rRNA from 1 species
GUUAGCAGAAAGUGGCGAACGGGUGAGUAACGCGUGGGUAAUCUACCCUGUUUAGUGGGGGAUAACCCUCCGAAAGGAGGGCUAAUACCGCAUAAUAUCUUCUCCUCUAAAAGAGGUAAAGAUUAAAGAUGGCCUCUAUACUAUGCUAUCGCUUCAGGAUGAGCCCGCGUCCUAUUAGUUAGUUGGUGGGGUAAUGGCCUACCAAGACUACAAUGGGUAGCCGGUCUGAGAGGAUGUACGGCCACACUGGGACUGAGAUACGGCCCAGACUCCUACGGGAGGCAGCAGUGGGGAAUAUUGCGCAAUGGGGGAAACCCUGACGCAGCGACGCCGCGUGGAUGAUGAAGGCCCUUGGGUUGUAAAAUCCUGUUCUGGGGGAAGAAAGCUUAAGGGUUCAAUAAACCUUUAAGCCUGACGGUACCCCAAGAGAAAGCUCCGGCUAAUUAUGUGCCAGCAGCCGCGGUAAUACAUAAGGAGCAAGCGUUAUCCGGAAUUAUUGGGCGUAAAGAGCUCGUAGGCGGUCUUAAAAGUCAGUUGUGAAAUUAUCAGGCUCAACCUGAUAAGGUCAUCUGAAACUUUAAGACUUGAGGUUAGAAGAGG